rnacentral:rRNA from 1 species
UCCUACGGGAGGCAGCAGUGGGGAAUCUUGCACAAUGGAGGAAACUCUGAUGCAGCGAUGCCGCGUGAGUGAAGAAGGCCCUUGGGUUGUAAAGCUCUUUCGUCGGGGAAGAAAAUGACUGUACCCGAAUAAGAAGGUCCGGCUAACUUCGUGCCAGCAGCCGCGGUAAUACGAAGGGACCUAGCGUAGUUCGGAAUUACUGGGCUUAAAGAGUUCGUAGGUGGUUGAAAAAGUUGGUGGUGAAAUCCCAGAGCUUAACUCUGGAACUGCCAUCAAAACUUUUCAGCUUGAGUUUGAUAGAGGAAAGCAGAAUUUCUAGUGUAGAGGUGAAAUUCGUAGAUAUUAGAAAGAAUACCAAUUGCGAAGGCAGCUUUCUGGAUCAUUACUGACACUGAGGAACGAAAGCAUGGAUAGCGAAGAGGAUUAGAUACCCUCGUAGUCCAUGCCGUAAACGAUGUGUGUUAGACGUUGGAAAUUUAUUUUCAGUGUCGCAGCGAAAGCGAUAAACACACCGCCUGGGGAGUACGACCGCAAGGUUAAAACUCAAAUGAAUUGACGG